CUGAAUUCACCUCAGUCCGCUUCAAACGGCAGGCGCGUGUUUGAGAAAGUUCAACGGUUUUUCCCCGCGCGACUGCAGUAGAAAUGAAAAAGAAACGACUCGGCUUCGACCAAAUACCAAACAUCAAAAAGUUAUGUCCUGGAAUAAUUAAAACUAGGAGUUUUGUCGACUGGAUUCAUGGAGGUGAUGUUCGCUGCGUUGCCAGAUGUGAGCUGGAAACAGCGUGUUUGGCCAAAUAAGCGACCGUGACUGAUGACCAGUGAAGCAGAUGCAAAUAAACACGACCGGGAGACACAGGAAACGAUCAUGUGUCUGAAACUGUGGAAAACCACCAAACAAUGACCGGCACGUGAUCGUUAAGUAAAAGCAUUAGUAUGCAGAGAUCUACACACAUUAAUAAAUAAUACAUACAUA